CACGAACGCUGGCGGCAGGCUUAACACAUGCAAGUCGAGCGCCCCGCAAGGGGAGCGGCAGACGGGUGAGUAACGCGUGGGAAUCUACCCAUCUCUACGGAAUAACGCAUGGAAACGUGUGCUAAUACCGUAUACGUCCUUCGGGAGAAAGAUUUAUCGGAGAUGGAUGAGCCCGCGUUGGAUUAGCUAGUUGGUGGGGUAAAGGCCUACCAAGGCGACGAUCCAUAGCUGGUCUGAGAGGAUGAUCAGCCACACUGGGACUGAGACACGGCCCAGACUCCUACGGGAGGCAGCAGUGGGGAAUAUUGGACAAUGGGCGCAAGCCUGAUCCAGCCAUGCCGCGUGAGUGAUGAAGGCCCUAGGGUUGUAAAGCUCUUUCACCGGUGAAGAUAAUGACGGUAACCGGAGAAGAAGCCCCGGCUAAAUUAGUGCCAGCCGCCGCAGUAAGAC
rnacentral:rRNA from 1 species